CUUAACUACAGAGUGUCUGUCCUCAGGUAGACAAAGACACGGCUUUAGAUUGUGUGAGGGUGGGUGUAAAUAAUCACGCUGAUUGUGGGAUACAGUCCCAAAAGGAAAUAUCCAUUAGCACCGACCACUGAUAGAUGCCUUGCUCCUUCCUGCACGUGUCAGCUCCUCAGCCCAUUUGUUGUGUAAUUAGGAUAUGUGCGGAGAAACUCGGUGACUCCGAUCACUUCUGUCUUUCUUGUUUUGUUUUCCCUAAUAUGAGUUUGAGCAGCAAAGCCUGGAAACCGCGCUGAAUGUGGAAACAUUGUUAGUCAGAUCAGCUAAUCUGGUUAAUUUGCUGAACUAAUUUGGUGUUUAUAUUUUUUGAGUUGUCUUGCCUCUCCCUUGUUUUUCCUUGUUCUGCUUUUAUGCUUUGAUUUGGGAAUGUGGCUGGACCAUCGUGGAGGAGAUGCAGAGAUAAAUGAGGUGGCUAAUGCCCAUGUAAAAUGUUAAACCGAGCUAAACAAAAAACAACCUCUAAACCACUUUGUACCGGACAGGAAGGCAGAGUCAGGCCAGGGUUGAGAGCAGAACAGAAAAACAACUUUUAUCUCAUCUUUGCUCAUUUCCAAUUCAGUUUUGAUCAGGAUUCAUUCCAUUUAUACAGUUAAUGAUGCUAAAUUCUUUGCUGUUAGCUCUGAUAGGAGGAUACAGCUGAAUAUCCUCAACAAAACAGUGGGAGGAGUUUUGAACCAGCAUCGUGGACCCUGGAAAACCCCAAUAGGAACUGGGGCUGCAGAAUUAUUAUUCCAGAUAGGAACUGUCAUCAUACCCAUGAGGAGCUUAAAAGAGUUGUUAAAAGCAGCUGAGUACUGUGAAGCUGUUAAUGGGAUUUAUUGUGCUGGGGGAGCUUCCAGGUGCCAGACUGACACCCACAGUGAAUUCCUUCAGUUUUACCUUCAUCGCGUUAUACAAUCUCAGCCUCCCCAGGGUAGGUUUAACGGAAUUCCCGAAUGAUUUGAGUUUCAGGAAGUGUCACCAAGUGGAUGAAGGAUAGAGCUCCUGUGCUUCUAAGCAGUUACACAGGGAGUCCUCCAUCCACUCCUCCUCCUCCAGACCUCUGAUCUUUCCCUGUUUUGUUCUCCAACUUUAAGCAGGUUGACUGCAAAGCCAAAGUGUGAACUUCCUGCUGUUGUGUGGUUUUAUAGCCUUUUACAGUGCAUCGGCAUGGUUGUGAUCUUUAUACUAUUAAUAAAAACAAUAAUGAUACCAACUAUUUUUGGGGGUUUUAUUAUUAUCUUCACUAUUCCUAUUAGUAAUAUUAUUAUAUACC
rnacentral:lncRNA from 1 species